rnacentral:rRNA from 1 species
GUGGGGAAUAUUGGACAAUGGGGGGAACCCUGAUCCAGCCAUGCCGCGUGUGUGAAGAAGGCCUUUUGGUUGUAAAGCACUUUAAGCGAGGAGGAGGCUACCGAGAUUAAUACUCUUGGAUAGUGGACGUUACUCGCAGAAUAAGCACCGGCUAACUCUGUGCCAGCAGCCGCGGUAAUACAGAGGGUGCAAGCGUUAAUCGGAUUUACUGGGCGUAAAGCGCGCGUAGGUGGCCAAUUAAGUCAGAUGUGAAAUCCCCGGGCUUAACUUGGGAAUUGCAUUCGAUACUGGUUGGCUAGAGUAUGGGGGAGGAUGGUAGAAUUCCAGGUGUAGCGGUGAAAUGCGUAGAGAUCUGGAGGAAUACCGAGGGCGAAGGCAGCCAUCUGGCCUAAUACUGACACUGAGGUGCGAAAGCAUGGGGAGCAAACAGGAUUAGAAACCCUAGUAGUCC